UAUUAGUUCUUUUAAAUUUGACCUCCUGUUGAUGUUGUUGUUGUUAUUAUUAUUAUUAUCAGUUUGUGGAUACUGCUGGAAACUGUGAAUUUCCCCUUGGGGAUGAAUAAAGUAUCUAUCUAACCUAACCUAAUCUAAUCUAAUCUAUAAAACAAAGAAGACCAGAGGGAGAGAGGGAGACUCGAUUGUAUUUGAAGUUUAAGUUGUUGUUCUUUUGGAGGGGGGGCUUUUUAUGUCUUUCAUUUGAUAGGACAAGUGAAGAUAGAGACAAAAGGGGGGAGAUAGAAAUAUGCAGCAAAGAGCUGCAGGUUGGAUUUGAACUCAGGCUGCUGCAGUUAGGACUCAGCAGAGUGAGUUGAGUAAUAUUUUUAGUUUGAGUCGAAUGUGAAUGGCGCAUGCACAUUGCACACUGCACAGUCAGAGCACAUGUUAAGUCCCGUCGCUCUCUCUCGGCAUGCUGGCCAGAUUCACCAUUUGACAUCGUGGAUAUCGUUUACCUCCUGGGUGGAUUUCGUCGAAAAAUAAAUAACCACAAGGCUGCUCUCUUCAGUUCCCUGGCUGUAGCCUAUAUCUUCAUCCAACCUGAACAGUUAUUGGAUGUGGAAAUGCAAAGACUGCAGCCUGUCAUUUUCAGAACGGUCUGAGCUACUAAAACAAAAAAAGGCCGAUUGCCUAAUGUUAAUAUGUUGCAUAUUGUUCAUAUGUUAAAGAUUAAUAAAUACAUUUAACGUAAUCUGUUGGCCAAGUGUCUUUUUUUAUAGAGUUUAUAAAGUGGGUUAGGAUUAUGUGUAAUUAACUGGUGUCAAUACAAACAUUAACUCAUGUUAAUUCAGUUAAAAGUGAAUACGUUAGGUUGGUUCAAUUUCAAUUUAUUAGUUUGGUUCAAUAACUAAAAUGUUAAGAAAAUAAUUUGGAUCAAGGCAAAGAAUUAAGGUUGAGUCAAGUGCAUUAUUAUUGUUUACAUCAACAUAAAAUAAUCAGGUCAUAAGAAGUUACUCAAUUUAGAUUCUGUGAAGUCAAAUAUUUUAGACGUGAUAUCUGGACAUCAUUUUUUUUUGUUUGAGCAAAGUUAUACUUUUUUCAGUGUACCCCUUAACAUUUUAGUUAUUGAACCAAACUAAUAAGACGGGCUCAGUCUGAAUGUUUUGUUUACAAUGAACAAAUCUCCAGGCGCAAUAUCUGUUUAGCCCUGAAUGUAGCCUAAUUGGACUAGCGAUGGCUUUUGGCUAGCUUACAUUACCAAUACUUGUAAAAGCGCGUCACAAAUAAAUGUAUUAUUAUUCAUGGUCAUAACAUUACCGGUAAAUGCUAGCUAGCUAGCCUGCUACUGCCAACUAGCUAGCCAGCUACUGCCAGCUACAAUCAUGCCAGCUAUCGCCCCAUUUAAGUACUUAAAUUGGGCUACUCUUUGUAAUUUUGACAACACAAAACACUAAAACUUUAAUUAUCAGCAACUGCUUUGCUACUUACGUUUAUUUUUCGACGAAAUCCACCCAGGAGGUAAACGAUAUCCACGAUGUCAAAUGGUGCGUCUGGCCAGCAUGCCGAGAGAGAGCGACGGGACUUAACAUGUGCUCUGACUGUGCAGUGUGCAAUGUGCAUGCGCCAUUCACAUUCGACUCAAACUAAAAAUAUUACCUGCAGGUCAUGAAGAAAAAGAAAAACAAUUGAGAGAAAUCAAAAACUUAGUUUUGGGUCCUUUGGACGUAUAUUUAGUUCAGUAUAAAUCAAACUUGAUGUCUCUAAAUGCAAAAAGAAUGGGUUUCACAAUCAAAUCAAUAAUUUUAUCCUGUUUUAAAUGGCAGUUAUUAGUUUGUAUGAACAACUGCAUGUUACACUUUUUUCAGUGUAGUUAGUUUUAAAUUACUGUGUAUGUAUUCUGUUAUUCCAGGCUAUGUAUGACCUACUGAGCAAUUAUCUGGACGGUUGUGAGAAAUUUAGAGAUAAAUUAUACCAUUUUUUAAUUACUGGGUAAUUCUGUUAUUAAAGGGUAUGUAAGACAAUACCAAUAGCAAAAAAAAAAUAAAAUUGAGACUAAAAAAAGUUUUGAGAGAAAGUAUUUUCUCAU
rnacentral:lncRNA from 15 species